AGCUGGGCUGCCUUGCUCUCCUGUGCCGUUCAAGCAGGGUGGGGGAGUGCUGCUCCUGGGGAGGCGGGUGUAGGUCUUCUACCCGUGCUGAUUUGCAGGCAGUGCUCCUCAAGGUAUUGGUGAAAAGACAUGGCUGUCAGGUGAAGUUCCUGGUGACUGGAAAAAAGGCAGUGUCACACCCAUGUUUAAGGAGGAUAGAAAGGAUGACCUGGGGAGCUACCAAUCUGUCAG
rnacentral:lncRNA from 1 species